rnacentral:rRNA from 1 species
GACGAACGCUGGCGGCGUGCUUAACACAUGCAAGUCGAACGAGAGCGAUGGAAGCUAGCUUCUAUCAAUCUUAGUGGCGAACGGGUGAGUAACGCGUAAUCAACCUGCCCUUCAGAGGGGGACAACAGUUGGAAACGACUGCUAAUACCGCAUACGAUCUAAUCUCGGCAUCGAGGAUAGAUGAAAGGUGGCCUCUACAUGUAAGCUAUCACUGAAGGAGGGGAUUGCGUCUGAUUAGCUAGUUGGAGGGGUAACGGCCCACCAAGGCGAUGAUCAGUAGCCGGUCUGAGAGGAUGAACGGCCACAUUGGGACUGAGACACGGCCCAGACUCCUACGGGAGGCAGCAGUGGGGAAUCUUCCGCAAUGGACGAAAGUCUGACGGAGCAACGCCGCGUGAGCGAUGACGGCCUUCGGGUUGUAAAGCUCUGUUAAUCGGGACGAAAGGCCUUCUUGCGAAUAGUGAGAAGGAUUGACGGUACCGGAAUAGAAAGCCACGGCUAACUACGUG